GUUUGCUACGAAUCAAGCAGCCAGUCGUGCGUCAAGGACGACACCGUAAUGGUGUGGUACCAAAGCGGAUACGGCCGCUUCGGUUUCACCCCUACAGGUAGAUGAGUGAGGCUUCAUGUUGACAUGCUGUCAUCUUUCGUAAAACUGGAUGAGUUAACCAGGAACAGUUUUCUCUGCUUUUUAUAAGCUCAAAUUGUAGAUUAAAUGGCUCGUUGGCGUUUCAUGCUGCUACUGAUUUUCUUGUUGAACGUCGUUUUGCCAUUUUCUUCAGCAUCACAGAAUGUAACUGAAGCAGGUGCUUAUGCUUAUGGUGCUGGGAAUAUUAGGGAUGAUCAGUUCGGCAUAACGAUUCUUAGAAUCCUUAAAACUGUGGGUGUUGCACUUGGAGUUGCAUUGGUUGUUACUUUUAUAGCACCAAUAAUUAUUUACUUCCUACUCUGCUGUAUCGGAUUUACCUGUUCUGGCGUUUUGGCAGCUUCGUGUGCUGCAAUCUGUCAAUCGAACAUUGGUAAUGUGGCGGCUGGAAGUUGUUUUUCUUGUGCACAGAGUAUGGGCGCUUGUGGUAGCAUGGGAGUUUACGUCUUGAUUGGCCUAAUAUGUGGUAUUCCUGCUGGUGCCAUUGCAGGCUAUUAUGCUUGGUUUUAUUUUGUUUGAAAUGGAUGAAUUUAAGCGUGGGCAUUUUGUAAAACAUGUAAUAUGAAUCUCGAAAUAAAUGUGACAUUUGCUCCUUCAUUAAGAACUUCAAUUUAGUUGCGAGUUUAUUUUCUUUCACGAAACAAAAAGACAUUACGUAAACGAGUUUUAGACAUUAUUUUCUUUCGGGAAUCAAAUGACUUCGAAAAAGAUAGCCGUGGAGUUAUAUGGGGCGCCAAAUUUCAAAUAUGAGUAGAGUU